rnacentral:lncRNA from 10 species
GAGGCUGGGGCAGUCACCUGGGGGCGCCCAGAGGAGAGGGUUUCAGGGCUCUCUCUGAACAAUUGGGGUUAGCACAGGCUGAGAGGUUGCAAACAACCGGACACCUGCCUCUGUGGGCCUCAGUUUCCUGGUCUGUGCAACUGAGACCCUUCCAGCAAUCCUUCCACAGUCUAGGCAGGGGUGGAGGUUAGCAGAUCCAGGUCACCGCAGGGGACAGGUAUUUGCUAUAAGACAUUGGCAAGAAUGGGCAGGGCACGGUCGCUCACGCCUGUAAUCCCAGUACUUUGAGGGAUCUAGGUGGGAGGAUCGCUUGAGGCCAGGAGUUGGAGAUCAGCCUGGGUAACAUAGCAAGACCCCUAUCUCUACCUCCCGAAAAAAUUAAAGAAAAAAGAAGACACUGGCAGAUUAUAUUUGCCAAUUUUUCUUUUAUGUUAACUGCCUUCUGUCUCCUACGAACCUUUGCCUACCUCCAAGCCACCAAAUUCUAUGCUUUCUUCCAAAUGCUUUUCCCCCACCCAACCCCAAGACAGAGUUUUGCUCUUGUUGCCUAGGCUGGAGUGCAAUGGCAUGAUGUCGACUCAUUGCAACCUCUGCUUCCCAAGUUCAAGCAAUUCUCCCGCCUCAGCCUCCCAAGUAGCUG